rnacentral:tRNA from 1 species
GGGGCGGUAGUUCAAUCUGGUUAGAGCACCGGCCUGUCACGCCGGAAGUUGCGGGUUCGAGUCCCGUCCGCCCCGCCA